CUACGGAGGGUCCAAGCGUUAUCCGGAAUCAUUGGGUUUAAAGGGUCCGUAGGCGGGUUUGUAAGUCAGUGGUGAAAGUUUUCGGCUCAACCGGAAAAUUGCCAUUGAUACUGCAAGUCUUGAAUCAUUAUGAAGUGGUUAGAAUGUGUAGUGUAGCGGUGAAAUGCAUAGAUAUUACACAGAAUACCGAUUGCGAAGGCAGAUCACUAAUAAUGUAUUGACGCUAAGGGACGAAAGCGUGGGUAGCGAACAGGAUUAGAAACCCUAGUAGUCC
rnacentral:rRNA from 1 species